rnacentral:rRNA from 1 species
GAUGAACGCUGGCGGCGUGCCUAAUACAUGCAAGUCGAGCGAACAGACGAGGAGCUUGCUCCUUCGACGUUAGCGGCGGACGGGUGAGUAACACGUAGGUAACCUAUCUAUAAGACUGGGAUAACUUCGGGAAACCGGAGCUAAUACCGGAUAAUAUUUCGAACCGCAUGGUUCGAUAGUGAAAGAUGGCUUUGCUAUCACUUAUAGAUGGACCUGCGCCGUAUUAGCUAGUUGGUAAGGUAACGGCUUACCAAGGCAACGAUACGUAGCCGACCUGAGAGGGUGAUCGGCCACACUGGAACUGAGACACGGUCCAGACUCCUACGGGAGGCAGCAGUAGGGAAUCUUCCGCAAUGGGCGAAAGCCUGACGGAGCAACGCCGCGUGAGUGAUGAAGGUCUUCGGAUCGUAAAACUCUGUUAUUAGGGAAGAACAAACGUGUAAGUAACUGUGCACGUCUUGACGGUACCUAAUCAGAAAGCCACGGCUAACUACGUG